rnacentral:misc_RNA from 1 species
AAGUCGUAACAAGGUUUCCGUAGGUGAACCUGCGGAAGGAUCAUUAUUGAAUAAACCUGAUGUGGUUGUUGCUGGCUCCCUCGGGGGUAUGUGCACACCCAUCAUCUUUAUCUUUCCACCUGUGCACAUUUUGUAGACUUGGAUGUAACACUUUCCGAGGAAACUCGGUCGGGAGGAAUGCUGUCAGGCUUUCCUUGCAUGUCCAAGCCUAUGUUUUCAUAUACCCCAAAGAAUGUAACAGAAUGUCUUAUUGGGCCUUGUGCCUAUAAACAAUAUACAACUUUCAGCAACGGAUCUCUUGGCUCUC